UUAACACCUGCUUCAAUACCCUUUUGCAGAGCCGUUUGUG
rnacentral:sRNA from 1 species